rnacentral:rRNA from 1 species
UAAGUUUAUGUUUUUUUAAUUUUAGGUAUUGCAUAUCAUUUGAGGAAAAUUUUAUUGUUAAUAAAUUAUAGAAUUGAAAGGUAGAAAAAUUUAUUAUCUUUAUUGUUUCAUAAUAAGAAUUAUAAUUUUUAGGGUUGAAAAGUCGACUUUUAAGAUAUCUGUGUAUUUUGUUGAAAUUAGAAAUUUAUUUUUUUUAAUAAGAUUUUUAUAAAAAGUAAAAGUUGAAGUAUUUAUUUUUUUAGUUUUAUAACAGUUUAUUUUAAUUAUUUUUUAGUUUAUAAUUUAUAUGAUAAGUUUUUAUCAUAUUUAUUAUUUUGAAAUUAGUAACUUGUAGUUAAGUUAUUUAGUAAUAUUUAAUAUAACUAAAGAACUCAAAUGUUAAUCAAAUGUUUUUUAAAGACUUAGACUUUUAUAUAAAGUUUGCUUCUGCCCAGUGAUAGUAAUUAAAUGGCAGUCUUAGCGUGAGGACAUUAAGGUAGCAAAAUAAUUUGUGCUUUUAUUGAGUUCCAGUAUGAAUGAAGUUAUUGGUUAAUUUAUUUUUUAGUUUUUUUGGUGAAGUUUUAAUUAAUAAUAAAAAAAUAUUAUUAUAAUAAAACAAAGAUAAGUCUUCGGAAAUUCUUUUUUAAUGGUAAUAAUAUUUAUUGCUGUUAAAAAUUUUCUAGGGCAGAAUUUUAUAUAAUUAUUAUAUCUAUUAAUAAUUUGAAGAAUUACUCCGGAGUUAACAGAAAAUCAUAUCUAAUCUAGUUCUUAUAGUAAGGUAAGUUUUACAUCGAUGUUGUAUUUAAGUUUAUUAAGAAAGGAGAAGAUUUAAUUUUUAAGACUGUUCUUCUUUUAAUUAACUUAACGUGAUAUUAGUUUAAUUCAUUGUGAGAUAGAAUUGUUUAUCUUGUUUAUUAUUUUUAGAAAAUUUUAAUAGUACGAAAGGAAAAUUAAAAAAAGUUUUAAACUUUAUAAGGUUAAUCCUUA